rnacentral:pre_miRNA from 1 species
AUGCAAAUCACUUGGGGAUCUUGUUAAAGGGCAGAUUCUGAUUUGUAGGUCUGGGGUGGGGCCUGAGAACCUGCAUUUCUUACAAGCCGCCAGGUGAUGAUGUU